rnacentral:lncRNA from 1 species
AAAUCUAGCAAACAACCUGACAGACUGUUCAGUCUUUAAUAAUGUGAGAAUAAACAGAAUAAAUUAAAAGCACACCAUAUUCUUCUCAGCUUCCUCAGGGGCUUUGUCCAAACAGCUUGAACAACUGCAAAAUAAUAUUCAGGAACCAUGAUAGUGUUUGGUACAUAGAGGACACUGGAAAUGGUUUUCUUAACUGAACAAGUGACUAGAAUAAAGGAAUUAAUGAACGACAUCAGAGCUGAAAUCCCAAACCAUAAAUCAUAAAAGGAUCAGACAGCAAAGAGUACUCAAAAGCUGAUUUAUUGAGAUCCUGAUGAGUUUGAAGUAACUAGAAACUUGAUCAAGACCCUGACUAAUAUAAGAUGAUUUUUUAAAACUGGAAUCUCAGUGGAUUCGUCUCAACACGGCCAGAUGGAUGAUUCUUCCAGGGACUAAUGAACUUGUUAGAAUUUCGGAUAACAUUUGGUUGUCAAAAAAAAAAAAAGAGCAUAAAAAGUAAUAGACCAUAACUGAGAUGGGUGGGGCUUAUUCUAGAUAAGAUAGUCAAGGACUGACAUAUGGGAAGAAGGCUACCUUCUGUGAAGGCAUCAGCCAUUGAGGAUGCUACUUCUGUAGCAUCUGGAGCAAAAUAUUCCAGGCAAAGGGAAUAAGAAGUGACUCUAAAAUAAUCAAUAAUAUGGAAAUUGUACAGCAGAAGUUGAAAGAUUAGAGAGGCAGAAGUUCAGUGAGAAAAAAAAAAAGUAGAAUAGAUAAGGUCAAAGGCUUAAGCCAUAGCAUAUCAGACAGGCUAAUGUUGACCAUUAAAGAAAGUUCCAAAUUCUAAGAGUAAUAGGAGGCUAUUAGAUGUAUUUAAUUAAGAAAGGAUGUGCACUGAUGAGCAUCUUAAACAGAUAGCUUGCUGCUAUUUAGAGAACAGAUUGCAAGAGGGAAAGACCAGCAGUACAAAUAUUGGCUAGUCUGCUACUUCUAUAGUACAAGUGAAGGAUGAUGAUAAAAAGAGGACAUUCGUGGUGGAGUAGGGGUUUUUUAAUUUUAUUUUGAUGAUGGAGCUACAAGAGUUUCUGAUGAUAAUAUAUGUGUGGUUAGAAAAUAAAGUCUUAAUCAACUGGGCACAUGAUGAUCCCAUUUCCAGAAAUAGGAAAGAUUGGGGGAAAAUAGAUUGGAUGGGAGGAAAAAAAAUCAGAAGUUAUAUUUCAGUUAUGUUAAUUUUUAUGUUAAUUUGGUUAUGAUAAGUUUUACUAAAUCAGACAAGAAUAGAAGGAAUCAAUGAUGUGUCUUUGCUACAUCUGAAAGAACUGAUUGGCAUAGAAACUAGAAGAGAUUCCAGAAGAAAUCUAUUUAGGGAAUCUUAAAUGGACUAAAGUUAAGACUAAAAAAAAUUCUGUAUUUCAGUUGACGGAAACUGUGCAUCCCUCCAGCAAUUCUGGAAACCACACGGAGCACGUUGCCUACUGUACAUAAUUCUGGUUUAAGGGGGCCAGAGAGGUGGGAGUGGUGUGGAGCAGGUAGUGUAAGAAUCACUGCAGCUUCCUAUUAAUAAUAAAAAUGUGCAAGACAAUAAACACGGCUGCUAUACCAAAGAAAAGCAGAUUUCUACUCAGAAGAAAAUUCUCUGAGUGACUGCCUCUAUCUGUACCUCUUUCCUGUAACCCUAUAGCCUUCCAACUUACUGAACUACAAUAUAAAACUGUAGGAAACAAUCAGCUUUACUAUAAAGCUAUAGUAAAGUUUUGUUCAGUUUUUUUUCUGAAUUCAUAGAAGGCUAUUGAUUCAGAAUCCAUAGCCACGCCUGUCACAUCAUUUUGCCUGUUUUCAUUUAGAAUCCUUUCCCUACAAAUUUCAAAAGUGUCCUUAGUGUUUUAAAUACUGUUCUUUGCACCUUAUGUUUCAAGUAUUAAGCACUUUUCUCACCUGCAUUUCCGAGCUGAAUUCACCAGCUGGACGCCAUUCCAGUCCACUUAUAACCCAGGCUUAGAAUACCCUCAUAUUCAGGGAAAGGGCAGUUGUCAUAUAACCUGUGACUCUCACCUUCGAUGAUUUUGUGAUCUGUGCUACUGCCUGUAGCCUAGUAUGCAUUAUAACUAAGCUGCUAAGCUAUAUUCUGUUGUUUUUUACUCCUACCAAUGAAGUUGACUAUGUAUUUCCAGUAAAGAAAAAGUUCAUUUUAAAAUCCACACACUAGCCGACUGGGUGCGGUGGCUCACGCCUGUAAUCCCAGUACUUUGGGAGGCCAAGGCGGGCGGAUCACGAGGUCAAGAGAUCGAGACCAUCCUGGCUAACACGGUGAAACCCCGUCUCUACUAAAAAUACAAAAAAAAAAAAAAAAAUUAGCUGGGCAUGGUGGCGGACACCUGUAGUCCCAGCUACUCUGGAGGCUGAGGCAGGAGAAUGGCGUGAACCCGGGAGGCAGAGCUUGCAGUGAGCCGAGAUCAUGCCACUGCAUUCCAGCCUGGGCGACAGAGCGAGACUCCGUCUCAAAAAAUAAAAUGAAAUAAAAUCCACACACUAAACAUCUCUGUUCUCUGUGGAAAGACACAAUUUCAGCAUCAAUUAAAAUAUAACUUUAUGUAGGUAAGGUAUUUGAUCUUAGUGAUGUGUUUCUCUUAAUUUCAGACAGUGACAAGACCCAAGAUUUGUUUUACUCUAAAGUGAGAAAUUAUCCUCAACAAAAAAACAUUUCACAGUGAGAAUCAGAAGAAUAUUUGCAUCAGGCAACUCUGGGUGCUAGAUAUUUAUUUUUUUUCUUUUUCACAUGAACUAUAAAAACUUACCACAAAAGACUGAUCUCCACAACUGCUUAUACUCUAGGUAUGUGAACAUAAGCAUAAACCCAAAGGUCAUUAUCCAGUCACAGUUUGGUAUUUUAUCAACAUCAUGGCAAAUGAUGUUGUUCAUAAGAACCUGAAUCUUAUGCUUCCAUUUUCCAGGAUUAUUAUACAUUGCACUGUUCUUGCUGAUACUCCAAAGACAUGUAGAAAAUAGAAAGGUAAGUUUGCAGGAGGAAAAAAGAACAAUGGAAUGAAGAAGCAAACAGGGAGUUAAAAUAACUCCUUGGAAUAGUAGAAUCAGGAAAGCAAAGGUAAAGCAUUAAAGUCUAAGGGCUGCAUGACUCCUAAGGGGAAAAUGCAUGUAUUUCUUUUAUUUUGCACUGAGAUUAAAUUUGCUGAUUUUUUUUCAUACUGUGUGUUCUUUCGCUCCCAAUCCUCACAUAAAAUAUUUCAGGGUGACCAACUGCUCUUUUGUGUUACAUUUUAAACAGGUAGAUGACUUUCACAUGUAGGCAAAGUUGAUUCUAGGAAUUAUUGUGAGGUAAGAGAAAUGUGUUUGAGACAAGGUGUGGUCUCUUCUUCUUAAGUUUUCCUCUCUGCAUGUUUUUA